rnacentral:lncRNA from 1 species
GGAUCUUUUAAGGUACAGAGUCACGUUAUAAGAACAAAAGAAAUACAAAAAGUCGCAUGUACAAAACAAACCACCAAAAAAUGAAAGCCAAUACAUUGACGAGAUGUAUAAGUACCGAGCCACGUGAAACGGAUAUUACAUAAAACCAUUCAACAGUAAAAGAAGUAUUAAUAAUAGAACAAAGACAAAUGAAAGAACUAUAAAACACGUUGUUAAGAUGAUAAA